rnacentral:lncRNA from 1 species
UUUCUUUUUUGGCUUGGGUUUUGUAGUUUUUUUCUCUUUUUUGGGUUUUAUUUUUCAGGCCCUCUCCUUGUUUGGGCCUGUGCUCUCAAGGUUUUUACAAACUUCUUUUUUUCAAUAAAAUUUCCAUUUCAGCAGUUAGCAUUCUCUAAUUAAUAAACUAGCAUAAAAGUGAAGUCUGAGCAUGAAUCUAUUUUAAUUCUUUUUUUUAUUUUAAUUUUCUCAAUAUAGUUAUAUAAGUA